rnacentral:rRNA from 1 species
GAUGAACGCUAGCGGCAGGCCUAACACAUGCAAGUCGAGGGAGAGGUUAUCUUCGGGUAACCAAAACCGGCGCACGGGUGCGUAACGCGUAUACAAUCUGCCUUUCACAUAGGGAUAGCCCGAAGAAAUUUGGAUUAAUACCUAAUGGUAUAUAAGAGCGGCAUCGUUUUUAUAUUAAAGCUACGGUGGUGAAAGAUGAGUAUGCGUUCUAUUAGCUAGUUGGAGAGGUAACGGCUCCCCAAGGCGACGAUAGAUAGGGGUUCUGAGAGGGAUGUCCCCCACACUGGUACUGAGAUACGGACCAGACUCCUACGGGAGGCAGCAGUGAGGAAUAUUGGACAAUGGUCGGAAGACUGAUCCAGCCAUGCCGCGUGCAGGAUGAAGGUCCUAUGGAUUGUAAACUGCUUUUGUAAGGGAAGAAUAAGGAGUACGUGUACUUUGAUGACGGUACCUUACGAAUAAGCAUCGGCUAACUCCGUGCCAGCAGCCGCGGUAAUACGGUGGAUGCGAGCGUUAUCCGGAAUCAUUGGGUUUAAAGGGUCCGUAGGCGGGCUGAUAAGUCAGAGGUGAAGGCGCUUAGCUCAACUAAGCAACUGCCUUUGAAACUGUCAGUCUUGAAUGAUUGUGAAGUAGUUGGAAUGUGUAGUGUAGCGGUGAAAUGCUUAGAUAUUACACAGAACAUCGAUAGCGAAGGCAUAUUACUAACAAUUUAUUGACGCUGAUGGACGAAAGCGUGGGGAGCGAACAGG